GCGCGGGUGGCGGAAUUGGUACACGCGCAGGCUUGAGGGGCCUGUGGGCGAAAGCCCUUGGAGGUUCGAGUCCUCUCCCGCGCA
rnacentral:tRNA from 2 species